GUCAGAUUAGUUUAGUAGUAAAAUGACUGUCUUGUAAACAGUUGUCCUAGGUGCGAUUCCUAGAUUUGGCA
rfam:Microbotryum lychnidis-dioicae p1A1 Lamole unplaced genomic scaffold supercont1.89, whole genome shotgun sequence.